GUGAGUGUAGUUCAAUGGUAGAGCCCUGGUUUGUGGUACCAGUCGUUGCGGGUUCGAACCCCGUCACUCACC
rnacentral:tRNA from 1 species